rnacentral:misc_RNA from 1 species
AAACCCAGAUCACCUAGAGUGUGGUAUUGGCAGAAGUGGCCGGGGCUAUCAGCGCUGCUGCCACUCUGCUGGAAUGAAUAGGCUGGAAAAGUAGAUCAUAGCAACAGACUUUCACAGUAUUUUGAAAUGCUAAAUUAGUUUGAAGCUGAUCAGAACCCAAGCCAUUUGACCCCCAUCCUGCGUAAAGCAGUAA